rnacentral:rRNA from 1 species
GACGAACGCUGGCGGCGUGCUUAACACAUGCAAGUCGAGCGGUAAGGCCUCUUCGGGGGUACACGAGCGGCGAACGGGUGAGUAACACGUGGGUGACCUGCCCUCAGCUCUGGGAUAAGCCUGGGAAACUGGGUCUAAUACCGGAUAUGACCUUUCCUCGCAUGGGGUUUGGUGGAAAGUUUUUUCGGCUGGGGAUGGGCCCGCGGCCUAUCAGCUUGUUGGUGGGGUGAUGGCCUACCAAGGCGACGACGGGUAGCCGGCCUGAGAGGGCGACCGGCCACACUGGGACUGAGGCACGGCCCAGACUCCUACGGGAGGCAGCAGUGGGGAAUAUUGCGCAAUGGGCGGAAGCCGGACGCAGCGACGCCGCGUGGGGGAUGACGGCCUUCGGGUUGUAAACCUCUUUCGACCCCGACGAAUUUGGACAGUAGGGGUAGAAGAAGCACCGGCCAACUACGUG